CAAGAGCUGAUGGAAAUCAGAAUUGACAAAGAAAAAAUGGAGAAAACUUAUGGGGAUGAGCAUUGCAGAGCUGUCAGUCUCAUAAAUGACAAAUAUGUGUUUUUCCUUGCUAUUUCUUGCUAGCCUUUCAACAGCUAAAAAGUUGGAUGUUGAUAGUCUUAAUUGUCAAUUGAAAGAGAUGCAUCUAGAGUUAAGUUUAAGAAUUUGUGAUGGUGCAACAUUCUAAGGAAUGCCGUCUAGCUGAGGAGAAAAUUUGAAGGUUGGAGUCUGAGGCAUCACUGACUCUUAUUUCAAAGAAGGCCGAGUUGGAGAUGUUGGUUACCAAGUUAGAGAACAUCAACAAUCUUAUACAUGCUUCAAAUCAAUCUGAAAACAAAAUGGUAUGAAAUAUUUGUUUGCUAAUUCAAGGGUAAAUUGUAGAAUGUUACUCUUCUAUUCUAAACCCGUUUUAUUAGACUUAGCAGCAAAAUUUGUUGCUGAAAAUUUCAUCAUUAGAAUCUGAGAACCAAGAUAUUCAAGAGAAAUCAAAGGCAACUCUCCUAGUGAAAGCAUACAAAAUAGAAACACUUGAGAAAGAGAUUGGCAAGUAUUUGGAGCUUGUGGAUUCCCUUGAGAAACAAGUCAACCAGCUUUAUGACAAUUCAGAGGAGAAGAAGCAACGACUUCUACAAUCAAUAGACAGAAGGAAACAAUUAGAAGAUAAAAAAGAAGAUGUUAUAGGAAAAGUUGGGAGUUUUUUGGUAUUUUUAUGUUAAGAGAGCUUAGUGAGUAUUUAAGAGAAAUUAUGUUUUUGCAUAUUCAAUCACAGGUAGCUGUAGCUAAAAGGAAACUUGUAGAAG